CAAGAGAGAAGGUUCUAAAUGAAUGCUUGGUGCCCAGCGGCCUGGCCAGACAAGUUAUAUUGCAGGAGACUUGCUGUCUGCCUUGAAGCACUGAGACUUUGAGGAAAGGUGCUGGAAGCCCAGUCAUGGGAAAAGGUGGAAAUUUUUGACCUUUCAAAUAAAGGUCAGGCAGUUUGGAUGAUCUUUUUCUGGUGAGCUGGAUGCUGUUCCCAGACUGAAGAGCCUUUUUUGACAUUCUCAUUUGUUCUGCUGUGUAAUAGCAUGGGAUCUUUCAGAGCUGUCGACAUCUGCUCCACUCUAGAGAGCUGCAGAACCAAGCCAGCAGAGCAAUAAUAAUUAUGCCCAAAUGGGCUGAAAAGAAUGCAAGAGAUGAGAAGGAAGACAUGGAAAAAUACACCCAGUGCGAUGAUGUUCUAACCUGAAGCCCAUGUGCCUCAGGAGAAUCUGUCCCGAGCCCUUCUUCCCACCUAGACUGUAUUCCAGGGGAGGCCUGAUUUGGUCAUCUCAGUGCUUUGUCAGUGGUUGGUUGAGAAAUGAUCAUGUGAAUAAAAAAAAAAAAGAACAGAAAUGAUCAUGUGAUAUGUGAUACUUUGGGCCAAUGAGGCAAAAGGAAAGGUAUUCUAGGAGCCUCUGGGGAAAAUUUCCUUGUUCAUCAGGGACAGCCAUGGGAACAGUCUCUGAACAUUGCUAUCCACAGAUGUGAGGCCAUCUACUACAGCUGCCUGGCUGAGGAUGAAGCUGUGAGUUGGGAAAUGGAUGAGCUAAGAGAACUACCGGGAAAUGGGGCCGCAGUACGUGACUCCAUCAACCUGAAAGCCUGAAAUACCUCUGGACUUCAGCUUUGUGAGCCAUCUAUUAUCUUAUUUUAGAAGCCAGUUUGAAUUUUCUGUUGCAUACACAUAAAGAAAUCGUAACUCAUACAAGUUGUCAACAACGAAGAACUUCUACAUAGUGCUAAUAAUGAAAAUUUUAAACACUGCCUUUAUAAAAAAAGAAUGUAAUAUUGACAAAUGGGUGAAAAGAUGAUCAACUGUAUUGUAAUAGAAGUAAGAGGACUUCCUCUAAAGUGUGAGUGACUAUAUUAUGAAACUGUUGAGCACUAAGCCUAAGAGACUGUCAUCAUAUGGGGUAGUUUGAAUAAGACCAAGAAAAAUGAUCUAAAUUAUUAGAAACAGAGAUCUACCAUGGUCAUACUUAAACUUAGCAUGUGACCUUUUGAAGAGAAUAAGUAGAUACGACAUGGGGUACAGUUUAAAACAGUCCUCAAGAUGCCCUGGUCAAGAGACCAGAGACUGUUCUAGAGGUUCUAACAAUAAGAAUACAGUUUCAAAUGGAGCGGCAUGGGCUGGAGGAUGGUCAGCCUAAUUUGUGUACACCAAGACCAGUUUUGUACAUAAAUAAAAAUGGAAAGCUCCAAGGAAUUGGGAAAAUGUCCUUUCCCCAUCUGAAAUACUUCCCCAAAUGCCUGCUGACUGAAAUUAUGUUAACUCUGGAAUAAAGACACUCCUUUAACAAGAGGUAAAUGACCUCAAAUGCAAAUUUCCACAGGAGCACUAAUAUGGUACUAAAAACUUG
rnacentral:lncRNA from 10 species